UACGUAGGGUGCAAGCGUUAAUCGGAAUUACUGGGCGUAAAGCGUGCGCAGGCGGUUUUGUAAGUCAGAUGUGAAAUCCCCGAGCUCAACUUGGGAACUGCGUUUGAAACUGCAAGACUAGAAUAUGUCAGAGGGGGGUAGAAUUCCACGUGUAGCAGUGAAAUGCGUAGAGAUGUGGAGGAAUACCAAUGGCGAAGGCAGCCCCCUGGGAUAAUAUUGACGCUCAUGCACGAAAGCGUGGGGAGCGAACAGG
rnacentral:rRNA from 1 species